rnacentral:rRNA from 1 species
GACGAACGCUGGCGGCGUGCUUAACACAUGCAAGUCGAGCGGUAAGGCCCUUUCGGGGGGUACACGAGCGGCGAACGGGUGAGUAACACGUGGGUGACCUGCCCUCAGCUCUGGGAUAAGCCUGGGAAACCGGGUCUAAUACUGGAUAUGACUCCAUGACGCAUGUUGUGGGGUGGAAAGCCUUGUGCGGCUGAGGAUGGGCCCGCGGCCUAUCAGCUUGUUGGUGGGGUGAUGGCCUACCAAGGCGACGACGGGUAGCCGGCCUGAGAGGGCGACCGGCCACACUGGGACUGAGACACGGCCCAGACUCC